ACGGGUGCGUAACGCGUGGGAAUCUGCCCUUGGGUUCGGAAUAACGUCGGGAAACUGACGCUAAUACCGGAUGAUGACGUAAGUCCAAAGAUUUAUCGCCCAGGGAUGAGCCCGCGUAGGAUUAGCUAGUUGGUGAGGUAAAGGCUCACCAAGGCGACGAUCCUUAGCUGGUCUGAGAGGAUGAUCAGCCACACUGGGACUGAGACACGGCCCAGACUCCUACGGGAGGCAGCAGUAGGGAAUAUUGGACAAUGGGCGAAAGCCUGAUCCAGCAAUGCCGCGUGAGUGAUGAAGGCCUUAGGGUUGUAAAGCUCUUUUACCCGGGAUGAUAAUGACAGUACCGGGAGAAUAAGCCCCGGCUAACUCCGUGCCAGCAGCCGCGGUAAUACGGAGGGGGCUAGCGUUGUUCGGAAUUACUGGGCGUAAAGCGCACGUAGGCGGCGAUUUAAGUCAGAGGUGAAAGCCCGGGGCUCAACCCCGGAACUGCCUUUGAAACUGGAUUGCUUGAACAUCGGAGAGGUGAGUGGAAUUCCGAGUGUAGAGGUGAAAUUCGUAGA
rnacentral:rRNA from 1 species